GAAAUAUACAUAAUUAAGCUUCUAACUUAAACAAUAGCGUAAACUACGUUAAUAUUUCU
rnacentral:tRNA from 1 species